AUGCUUCAUUUGGAAUGCUAUAACUCUUUAGAUGCUGAUCUUUCUGCAAUGACUCUGGUAGUUCAGCAUCCGACGGUAGAACAAAGUCCACUGCCUGGAGAGUGGCUGGCUGAUGUACUGCAGUUGCUUGGUUCUCCAGAUUUGAUUCUUGAUGAACUUGACAAGUCUUCCUUGGGCCGGUAUCCUACUGGGCUGGUGAUGGAUGGCAUUGUCCCUCAAUAUAGAGCUAUGGCCAAGGAGGUGGCAGUUUGUGACAUGUCCUGUUGACUUCAGCAACGGUUGACUUUUAAGUGUCAUUUAUUCAGCAUACUGAGGUGAGAAUUUUUGUGCAAUGUGUAACAAAGUAAUGUGAAUUUUACUCUUUGAACAAAAUAUCACACUUUGACAUGCUGCAGACCUUGAUAUCACGCCUAUGCCCUUUUGGGUUCUGGCCUCAAAAAACUAAAACUGGUGCAAUUUCUAGGUUCAGCUAGGAUGUUUUCAAGGCUUUACAAAAUAUUACUAGGAUUUUCUCUGAAAUAAUCUGCAUUUUCUGCUCUAAAGAUAAACAUAUCUUUCAGAAAAGACUGAAAGUCUUCAAAUGAUAGAGGGUAACACCUGGCACACUUCAUCAUGAGCUGUGGUUUAACAAACCUCUCGUUUUGUUCUUUUCUUUUUCCCUGGUUAUAUUAUAACUCCCAGAAUCCCAGCCUCUGGAUCUUGUUAUGCUGCUUUGUUCCAGUUCUGAUCUAACCUGUAUCUGAAAUCUUGUCCCCAGUUAUGUUGUGACAGGUAGGAAGUGCCAGUCUUGUAAAGCAGACGCUACGUAACGUGGUAAAAUAGAAAGAGC
rnacentral:lncRNA from 1 species